UACGGGGGGGGCAAGCGUUGUUCGGAAUUACUGGGCGUAAAGGGCUCGUAGGCGGCCAACUAAGUCGGAUGUGAAAUCCCCAAGCUUAACUUGGGAACUGCAUCCGAUACUGGAUGGCUUGAAUCCGGGAGAGGGAUGCAGAAUUCCAGGUGUAGCGGUGAAAUGCGUAGAUAUCAGGAGGAACACCGGUGGCGAAGGCGGGUCUCUGGGCAGUAACUGACGCUGAGGAGCGAAAGCGUGGGGAGCGAACAGG
rnacentral:rRNA from 1 species